UACACCGUUCCCGUUAUUUGCAGCGG
rnacentral:miRNA from 1 species